rnacentral:rRNA from 1 species
UACAUGGGGUGCAAACGUUGCUCGGAAUUAUUGGGCGUAAAGCGCGCGUAGGCGGUUACUCAAGUCGGAUGUGAAAGCCCUCGGCUUAACUGAGGAAGUGCACCCGAAACUGAGUAGCUAGAGUACUAAAGAGGGUCGCGGAAUUCCCGGUGUAGAGGUGAAAUUCGUAGAUAUCGAGAGGAACACCUGCGGCGAAGGCGGGUUGCUGGGCUGACACUGACGCUGAUGCGCGAAAGCUAGGGGAGCGAACGGG